ACAGUGGACGCGAGCAUCUGUGGCCAAGUUUUUAAGGGCGCACGGUGGAUGCCUUGGCACCAGGAACCGAUGAAGGACGUGGGAGGCCACGAUAGUCCCCGGGGAGUCGUCAACCAGGCUUUGAUCCGGGGGUUUCCGAAUGGGGAAACCCGGCAGUCGUCAUGGGCUGUCACCCAUACCUGAACACAUAGGGUAUGUGGAGGGAACGCGGGGAAGUGAAACAUCUCAGUACCCGCAGGAAGAGAAAACAACCGUGAUUCCGGGAGUAGUGGCGAGCGAAACCGGAUGAGGCCAAACCGUAUACGUGUGAGACCCGGCAGGGGUUGCGUAUGCGGGGUUGUGGGAUCUCUCUUUUACGGUCUGCCGGCCGUGAGACGAGUCAGAAACCGUUGAUGUAGGCGAAGGACAUGCGAAAGGUCCGGCGUAGAGGGUAAGACCCCCGUAGUCGAAACAUCAGCGGCUCGUUUGAGAGACACCCAAGUAGCACGGGGCCCGAGAAAUCCCGUGUGAAUCUGGCGGGACCACCCGCUAAGCCUAAAUAUUCCCUGGUGACCGAUAGCGGAUAGUACCGUGAGGGAAUGGUGAAAAGUACCGCGGGAGCGGAGUGAAAUAGUACCUGAAACCGUGUGCCUACAAGCCGUGGGAGCGUCGC
rnacentral:rRNA from 1 species